rnacentral:rRNA from 1 species
GACGAACGCUGGCGGCGUGCUUAACACAUGCAAGUCGAACGGAAACGCCCUGCUUUUGUGGGGUGCUCGAGUGGCGAACGGGUGAGUAGCACGUGAGUAACCUGCCCUUCACUUUGGGAUUACUUCAGGAAACUGGGGCUAAUACCGGAUAGGAGCUUCUGCUGCAUGGUGGGGGUUGGAAAGUUUCGGCGGUUGGGGAUGGACUCGCGGCUUAUCAGCUUGUUGGUGGGGUAGUGGCUUACCAAGGCUUUGACGGGUAGCCGGCCUGAGAGGGGUACCGGCCAAAGUGGGACUGAGAUACGGCCCGGACUCCUACGGGAGGCAGAAGAGGGGAAGAGUGCACAAUGGGCGGAAGCCUAAUGCAGCAACGCCGCGUGCGGGAUGACAGCCUGCCGUUAGUAAUGCACAUUCGCCUUUGACGAAGCGUUAGUGACGGUAAUGGGUAAAUAAGCACCGGCUAACUACGUG